rnacentral:rRNA from 1 species
GCAUAUCAAUAAGCGGAGGAAAAGAAACCAACCGGGAUUGCCCCAGUAACGGCGAGUGAAGCGGCAAGAGCUCAAAUUUGAAAUCUGGCCCCUCCGGGGUCCGAGUUGUAAUUUGCAGAGGAUGCUUCGGGUGCGGCCCCUGUCUAAGUGCCCUGGAACGGGCCGUCAGAGAGGGUGAGAAUCCCGUCUUGGGCAGGGUGCCCGUGCCCGUGUGAAGCUCCUUCGACGAGUCGAGUUGUUUGGGAAUGCAGCUCUAAAUGGGUGGUAAAUUUCAUCUAAAGCUAAAUACCGGCCGGAGACCGAUAGCGCACAAGUAGAGUGAUCGAAAGAUGAAAAGCACUUUGAAAAGAGAGUUAAACAGCACGUGAAAUUGUUGAAAGGGAAGCGCUUGCGACCAGACUCGGCCUCGGGGUUCAGCCAGCAUUCGUGCUGGUGUACUUCCCCGGGGCCGGGCCAGCGUCGGUUCGGGCGGCCGGUCAAAGGCCCCAGGAAUGUAUCGUCCUCCGGGACGUCUUAUAGCCUGGGGUGCAAUGCGGCCAGCCUGGACCGAGGAACGCGCUUCGGCACGGACGCUGGCGUAAUGGUUGCAAACGACCCGUCUUGAAACACGGACCAAGGAGUCUAACAUCUACGCGAGUGUUCGGGUGUCAAACCCGUACGCGCAGUGAAAGCGAACGGAGGUGGGAGCCCCUUUGGGGCGCACCAUCGACCGAUCCUGAUGUCUUCGGAUGGAUUUGAGUACGAGCGUAGCUGUGGGGACCCGAAAGAUGGUGAACUAUGCCUGAAUAGGGCGAAGCCAGAGGAAACUCUGGUGGAGGCUCGCAGCGGUUCUGACGUGCAAAUCGAUCGUCAAAUUUGGGUAUAGGGGCGAAAGACUAAUCGAACCAUCUGGUAGCUGGUUCCUGCCGAAG